rnacentral:lncRNA from 1 species
GGCGGAUGGGCUCUUUCUCAUUCUUCAAAAUCAGGGUUUUUGGCGUUAAUAUGCCAUGGUUUCUGCUGGACCUGGAGAAUAGAACUGAGUCAGAUUAAAGCAAACGGCCAAAAACAAGGACAAAGUCCAAGUUUCUGAAGACUUGGCAUCUCAAGGAAGACUCUUUUGAAGUCAAUUUCCCUGACCCUGGAUCCACAGAGCCACCUGCAGAUGUCACACUGAAACUUUGCUGUUGACACACCACCUGUUUUUCCUUGUUCUCCCUCGGUUUUUGCUUUCAUCAAGAAAAUUCUUCAAACAGCUGGGUGAUGCCAAUACAUGGAGCCCGCUGGGAAGUACAUUCUUGUUCCACACUAGAAAACCAGACUUAAUUAGUCAGUCACAUUUAGAGUACUUUUUCUUCUCCAUGACAACUCUAAUCACGUUAGCCAUAUUUGAACUGGAAAAUAGCAGUGUUUUCAGCCCCACAUGAUGAACACAAAUUUAUGUUUAAAUACAAAUAUUAGAGAAAGACAAAUAGGUUGACAUAAUUAUGUGGUUGAUUCUCCUGUGGCUAGAAAAAAAAACAAAUGUGCCACCUCAUCACCUCAGUCUUCCUCACUGAGACCUGUUAUCUAGAAAGGGGAUAUUCUAGGGGAUCACAAUGGCGAAUUAGUGAGUUUGGGGAUUAUUCUUUUGUUUUGCUUUCUUUUUUCACUCAGGAAGAGUGACUAAAACCACGUGGCUAUUUUUAUGUCAUGACUUAAAUACAUCUUCAUCGCCAAGCAUUGAAAUUUCACUAUCACUGUGUUCCUU